rnacentral:rRNA from 1 species
GAGCUAACGCGUUAAGCGCGCCGCCUGGGAAGUACGGUCGCAAGACUAAAACUCAAAGAAAUUGACGGGGACCCGCACAAGCGGUGGAGUAUGUGGCUUAAUUCGAUGCAACGCGAAGAACCUUACCUGGGCUUGACAUGCAUUGCUAAUCCCGUGAAAGCGGGUGAGUCUUCGGACACCUUGCACAGGUGCUGCAUGGCCGUCGUCAGCUCGUGUCGUGAGAUGUUGGGUUAAGUCCCGCAACGAGCGCAACCCCUGUGAACAGUUGCCAGCGCGUGAUGGCGGGGACUCUGUUCAGACUGCCCAGAUCAACUGGGAGGAAGGUGGGAACGACGUCAGGUCAGUAUGGCCCUUACGCCCAGGGCUGCACACGUACUACAAUGCCCAGUACAAUUGGAACCGAAGCCGCGAGGCGGAGGAAAUCCGUAAAACUGGGCCCAGUUCGGAUUGGAGGCUGCAACUCGCCUCCAUGAAGCCGGAAUCGCUAGUAAUGGCACAUCAGCUACGGUGCCGUGAAUACGUUCUCGGGUCUUGUACACACCGCCCGUCACAUCAUGGAAGCCGGUAGCACCCGAAGUAUC